UAGGGAAUAUUAGAAAUGGACAAAAGUCUGAUCUAGCAACACCGCGUGUGCGAUGAAGGCCUUCGGGUUGUAAAGCACUCUUUGGAAGGAUUAGGAAGGAAUGUACUUCCAGAAUAAGUCUCGGCUAACUACGUGCCAGCAGCCGCGGUAACACGUAGGAGGCGAACGUUAUCCGGAUUUACUGGGCGUAAAGCGCGUGUAGGUGGUUUGGUAAGUAGAGCGUGAAAGCUCCUGGCUCAACUGGGAGAGGUCGUUCUAAACUGCCGGACUAGAGGAUGGUAGAGGGAGGUGGAAUUCCGGGUGUAGCGGUGGAAUGCGCAGAUAUCAGGAAGAACACCGGUGGCGAAGGCGGUUCUCUGGGACGGUACUGACGCUGAGACGCGAAAGCGUGGGGAGCGAACA
rnacentral:rRNA from 1 species